AUUGAACGCUGGCGGCAGGCCUAACACAUGCAAGUCGAGCGGAUGAAGGGAGCUUGCUCCUGGAUUCAGCGGCGGACGGGUGAGUAAUGCCUAGGAAUCUGCCUGGUAGUGGGUGAUAACGUCCGGACACGGGCGCUAAUACCGCAUUCGUCCUGAGGGAGAAAGUGGGGGAUCUUCGGACCUUACGCUAUCAGAUGAGCCUAGGUCGGAUUAGCUAGUUGGUGGGGUAAAGGCCUACCAAGGCGACGAUCCGUAACUGGUCUGAGAGGAUGAUCAGUCACACUGGAACUGAGACACGGUCCAGACUCCUACGGGAGGCAGCAGUGGGGAAUAUUGGACAAUGGGCGAAAGCCUGAUCCAGCCAUGCCGCGUGUGUGAAGAAGGUCUUCGGAUUGUAAAGCACUUUAAGUUGGGAGGAAGGGCAGUAAGUUAAUACCUUGCUGUUUUGACGUUACCAACAGAAUAAGCACCGGCUAACUUCGUG
rnacentral:rRNA from 1 species